rnacentral:rRNA from 1 species
AUUGAACGCUGGCGGCAGGCCUAACACAUGCAAGUCGAGCGGAUGAAGGGAGCUUGCUCCUGGAUUCAGCGGCGGACGGGUGAGUAAUGCCUAGGAAUCUGCCUGGUAGUGGGGGAUAACGUCCGGAAACGGGCGCUAAUACCGCAUACGUCCUGAGGGAGAAAGUGGGGGAUCUUCGGACCUCACGCUAUCAGAUGAGCCUAGGUCGGAUUAGCUAGUUGGUGGGGUAAAGGCCUACCAAGGCGACGAUCCGUAACUGGUCUGAGAGGAUGAUCAGUCACACUGGAACUGAGACACGGCCCACACUCCUACGGGAGGCAGCAGUGGGGAAUAUUGGACGAUGGGCGAAAGCCUGAUCCAGCCAUGCCGCGUGUGUGAAGAAGGUCUUCGGAUUGUAAAGCACUUUAAGUUGGGAGGAAGGGCAGUAAGUUAAUACCUUGCUGUUUUGACGUUACCAACAGAAUAAGCACCGGCUAACUUCGUG